CGGUGUUGCGUCUUUUGUCUUUAAAAUGAGCUGCUUGUAAUGCGUUAAUACUCCUUUCUACUGCAGUUUUUUAGAAAGAUAUUAUGUUAGCUAUGGAGAACUGCAAAUAUGUUGUUACUGUUCUCAAUAACAUUGCUGGCAUGAAUUUAUCAGCUGUUAUCGACAAAGGUCAUGGGGAAAAGGUGUGAUUGACAACUUUCUGGACAAGGACACGUUUUGAAAUCAGUGGAACACAACGGACCAAAUAAGCUGUGUAAACUAAACAGAAACAACACAGGGUGUCUUAUAAAAGGGGUUGCAGUCUGCCAUUAAGCUUUCAUUAAUGUAUACAGCAUUAAAUCAGUAGAACACGCCUGACUAAUCCACAAGUCAUACAGUCAUCAAAAGAGAGCUGGCCCAAGCAAAAGAAGGCAGCAGCGCAGCCAUCAACUACAUGCACCAUUUCUUCACCAACUACGGAGUUGGUAAAACACUGCUGACCUGAAUUGUAAUAACUGCAGUGGCCAAAACAAGAACAAGUUUGUGCUCUGGUAUUUUGCCUGGUGGACCAUGCACAAGCUCCACCACAGUCUGGACCUUCACUUCCUGAUCACAGGCCACACCAAGUUUGCCCCUGACUUUGCUUCGGCCUCAUCAAGCAGCGCUUCAGAAAGACCAGAGUGUACACUUUGUUAGAGAUUGCUGGGGUUGUGAAGGACAGCACUGUGACGGGUCAACAUCCCACAGCUGGUUGGACUGGAGGAUGGUACGGUGCUGGUGGAAAGCCAUGGCUGGCAACAACACCUGACUCCCUACUUCAGGCCUCUGCCACAGAUCAAGCAGUGCCAGCCCAUCAGCUUCGAUGCUCUGGAGCCUGGUGUUGUUGGAGCGUUCGGACUGUCGGGACCAGGUUUCAGCUGCUGCGCAACGCUGACAUCCUUCCUCCCAUAGAUGGUCUGCCUGUAAAAGCACCACCUGGACUGGACACAGCUAGACAAUAUUUUUGACAAGAUCAGGGAGUUGUGCGACGAAGAGGCUAUAGACAUCACAUGCUCUACACUAAAGUCAAGGGUAGGACAGAAACAGGUUCUCCGAAUAUUCCCCUGUUCAUGCAUGGUUUGGACGGACCAGUCAUCAGCAGUGCCUCUAUUCACAUGACUCUCUCCUAACACUCACGCCAUAUGUUGCUGAUAUUUUUCUUUAUCCUGCUGCUCAGCCACUUUACCCCUGAUUGUAUGCAUAUAACAACCUCGUCUAUCACUAUUGUUAUUGAUGUUGUUCUUGUACAUACUGUAUAUUUUAUUUAUAUUGACACUAUUUCUGAUAUUACUACUAUGCAAGUAACCAUUUGGCUUUGGCUGUACCAUUUACACGUUCUGUAGAGACCAUCCACUCAGCAAGACUUAGCAAAAUAUUUGAUAUAUAAAAUGAAUAUUGAUGUGUGGUCGUAACAUGAUUUUGUGACAUAACACAACAAUAUCAUGUGUUCGUAUCACGUGUCCACCACUUAAAUAUAUGGCGCAUGCAUCUGUUUUAUAUACUGUACAUGUGCACCUCACUCAGGUUUCAACUCAGGCAUGCCCUUAACUUAUGUAUGGUAUACUAUGUGAUAAGUGCAUGUGUAACAGUACAUAAAGUAUGCUAAUGUAC